UAUACUCUCAGCCCUCAUCCACUC
rnacentral:piRNA from 1 species